rnacentral:rRNA from 1 species
GAUGAACGCUGGCGGCGUGCCUAAUACAUGCAAGUCGAGCGAACAGACGAGGAGCUUGCUCCUCUGACGUUAGCGGCGGACGGGUGAGUAACACGUGGAUAACCUACCUAUAAGACUGGGAUAACUUCGGGAAACCGGAGCUAAUACCGGAUAAUAUAUUGAACCGCAUGGUUCAAUAGUGAAAGACGGUUUUGCUGUCACUUAUAGAUGGAUCCGCGCCGCAUUAGCUAGUUGGUAAGGUAACGGCUUACCAAGGCAACGAUGCGUAGCCGACCUGAGAGGGUGAUCGGCCACACUGGAACUGAGACACGGUCCAGACUCCUACGGGAGGCAGCAGUAGGGAAUCUUCCGCAAUGGGCGAAAGCCUGACGGAGCAACGCCGGGUGAGUGAUGAAGGUCUUCGGAUCGUAAAACUCUGUUAUUAGGGAAGAACAAAUGUGUAAGUAACUAUGCACGUCUUGACGGUACCUAAUCAGAAAGCCACGGCUAACUACGUG